rnacentral:snoRNA from 1 species
AUACCAGUUCAAUGCGUCUGCUCAACUUGAAAAUGUUUUGCAGAGCAUAUUUUGAAAGGACACUGGUAAAGUAAAGCCACAGUACGAGCCUUGAAGACUUUGUUGUCUUUGAGGUCCCAAGAGAUGGCGACAUCA